rnacentral:rRNA from 1 species
GAUGAACGCUGGCGGCGUGCCUAAUACAUGCAAGUCGAGCGAACAGACGAGGAGCUUGCUCCUCUGCCGUUAGCGGCGGACGGGUGAGUAACACGUGGAUAACCUACCUAUAAGACUGGGAUAACUUCGGGAAACCGGAGCUAAUACCGGAUAAUAUCUUGAACCGCAUGGUUCAAUAGUGAAAGACGGUUUUGCUGUCACUUAUAGAUGGAUCCGCGCCGCUUUAUCUAGUUGGUAAGGUCACGGCUUACCAAGGCAACGAUGCGUAGCAGACCGGAGAGGAUGAGCGGCCACACUGGAAUGGAGACACGGCCCAGACCACUACGCGACGGAGCAGUGGGGAGAGGACCGCAGUGGGCGAAAGCAUGACGUGGCAACGCCGCGUGAGUUAUGAAGGUCCUCUGAUCGUGAAUCUAUGCUACUAGUGAAGAAGAAAAAUGUAAGUAACGAGUCACGCCUUGACGGUACCGUAUCAGAAAGCCACGGCUAACUACGUG